CAAUAGCGUAUAUUAAAGUUGUUGCGGUAAAAAAGCUCGUAGUUGGAUUUCUACCGAAGAUAGCCGGUCGGGUCUUCGACCUUGUAUCUGGUUUUGUCUUUGGUAUCCUCAUAGGGAACGUUUCUGCGCUUUAUUGCGUGGUGCGGUAUCUAUGACUUUUACUUUGAGGAAAUUAGAGUGUUCACGGCAGGCAAACGCCUUGAAUAUAUUAGCAUGGAAUAAUAACAUAGGAUCUUCGUCCUAUUUUGUUGGUUUCUAGGGCUAAGAUAAUGAUUAAUAGGGAUAAUUGGGGGCAUCUGUAUCAACGCGUCAGAGGUGGAAUUCUUGGAUUGUGUUACGACAAACUACUGCGAAAGCAUUUGCCAAGGAUGUUUUCAUUGA
rnacentral:rRNA from 1 species